rnacentral:lncRNA from 1 species
GCCCUUUUUGGAAUGGAGACAGCAGAGAGCAGCUCGUCUGAGUUCAAGAGGGAAAGAUAUGGUGGCCAAGCAUGAGGUGCUCCACAAAGGCCGUGGGGGAUUUGAAGCACGAGUUGCUGGUCCUGUGAUCCUCCUGGGACAGUAAAGCCACACAGGGCAGCAAGAGCAGCCUUUCUGUUGCCGGAGAUAUUCUGUGGGUAUUGAUUCGGCUCCCUCUGACUUACUUACAAUGAGCUCCCAACACAAUCGAAGUGAUGUAUAAAACCGUGAGGCUGGAGCUUCGGCCAAGCAGAGGCAGUAUGCAAUACAUAAAAGCUGGAAGCCCCCCUUCCCCCCCCCCCCCCCCGCCGCGCUUCUGUGACACUUCCAGCUGGAAGAUGAAUCGGAGCCACACAUUCCAGCUCUGCUUGGGUAGCACGGAAAUAUGCAAGCUGCAAUCAUCUAGGUAUGCUCACUACAGCUAAAGUGGUGCUGUGGUGCCAGUGCCACGUGCCGCGAAGGCUGCCAGCGAGCAUUUUUUCCAAGGACCGAUUAUUGGGAAAUUCAGCCUUUCCUCCUCUCGCUCCCCAACCAUUCAUGGAAAGGUUGCCAUGUGCCAGGAAGCCCGACUAUUUCAGUCAGUCAUGAAGCCAUCUAAGCACAGGUGUUGGAAGAGGUCAGCCUUUGAGCCGUGAUUUAAUACUUAAAGGUUUGUGGAUAGUACCUUUUACAUUAGUUGCCUAAGUGUUAGAAGGGUCCCUAGUGUGGGGUGAACACGUCCUCAUAGUUAAAUCGGGAGGCUUUCUCUUAAAAGUGCUCAGUGUGGACCAAAAGUUACAUAAGCGCUUUGCCUUAAAGGCUAUCCAGUUGGUCUUUCACUUUAGUUCAGGCUUAAAGAACAAAAAUAGCUUUCUGGUUUUGUCUCCUUCUGGACGAGUGGCCAUCUGUUUACCGUUUAAUAUCACCAGCUCAUGACUUUUCAAGGAACUGCGCAGGAUUUCAUGGUUGUGCAUCAGGGACUUCCUUCCCCUAGUUCACUCUUCCACUGUGGUCCCUUCCACCGGGAUAACACAAAAGCACUUCCCUGUCUCUUUUGGUUUAUCUGUGACCUGCCCCCAAAAACACAUAUAUGUUAUUUUAACUCGGCAGUUCAUAACCUGUGGGUCACGACCCUUGAUGUGUCAGAUAUCUUGUAUAUCAGAUAUUUUCAUUAUAAUUAAAAAACUGUAGCAACAUUA